CCUCUCUCUCUCACACUCUCUCUCUCUCUGUCGAUCUCUCACUCUGAAGCUCUACAGAGCUCUCUACAAAAAUAACAAGCAAAGUAGCAUAAUCACACGCGAUUACACGUCAGCAUUUAGCAAGUAUUUGUUUCACACAUCGGCGGAAUUUUAUUGAGGUUAAUAUGGGGAAACGCAAGAGAUUGAAUAUUGUCUCAUUGAAUUCCCACGAAGAGAUGAAGCUCAACCACAAGGGGGUGAGUCCAAUAAUGAGGGGCAAACUACCCAGGCUGAGCCCAACAAUGAGGACCAAACCACCCAGGGUAGUGCACCAGUGGAUGCAUACUCACAAAGGCAGCCAACUAAAGCUCAAUACAAGCCUCAAGGUCCCACACGUAUGUUAGAGGUGUGGGAUAUGGCAGCGGAGGAGAAUAUUGUUGUUCAAGUAGAUGAAAUGGGCCGACCAAUUGGUGAUGACUUACCAAUUUCAUUGGUACCAUGGUAAGAAGGGCCUAAUUUGCACCUAUCAACUAUAUAAAAUGGAAAGAUAUGCCCCAGACUUACAAAGAUGAUAUGUGGACAACUGUAGAGUCAAAGUUUCAAUUUGUGCCUAGAUGCACUGAGCAAACAAAAAAGCUAUUCCUACAAAUUGUAUCUGACAAGUGAAGGCAAUAGAAGAAUGAAAUAAAGGCAAAGGGGUAUGAUGAGAGUAAAACGGAAGAAGAAAUGGCUGCUAAUGUUUCAGAUGAUCGGGUAGAUAGGAACCAAUAUUGUACUGGUUCAUUAUUGGUGCUCUGAGGAGGGAAAGAAAUUUAGCCAAAUUAAUAAAACUAAUCGAGCCAAGCUAGAAGACCUUCACUGCACUGGCACAAAAGGAUUCCUUAGGCUCAUUGAAGAGAAGGUUAGUUCUACAUAUUUGCAGUAAUGAUGAUAAAUUUUUUGUUUUCAAGUUAUUUUACCUUUAUAUUGUUAGACAAAAGAGGCCCAUGGGGUGGCACCUACUCGUGCACAAAUUUAUAUAAAUAGUCGGAUACGCAAUGAUGGAAGCAUUGUCAAUGAAAAGGCAGCGGAGAUUAUUGAAAUUAUCAAGGGAGACCAGCAUAGGGGAAAGAUAACAUAAAACCAUGGAAAAGAGGCCAAGUGAAGGCAAUUCACCACAGYUGGGAGAAAGGCCCAACCGAAAAGCCUAAGGAGGGAUAUUCGAUGCAUGAAGCUUGGCAGCACUCCAUUGGGGAACCCAAGGAGAGAGCCUAGCCGAAGCUCAUCAAGGGAGUCCAUUCGCUCCAGCAAGAGGAAGGCCCAUGUACAGCUCAAGAGCAGCCCAAAGUGCAGCCCGAGGAGCCUAAAGGCGGCAAACUUUCUAGAUGAGAGAAAGGGGCUGAAGURAAAGCUACAAAAGGAGAAGAGAAAGAGGGAAAAAGGGUUCAAACUCCUUUGGUUCGAAAUCCUUUUAGGAGAAUUGAGAGAGAGGUGCGCAAAAGAGAAGAAAGGGGGAGAUUCAAGAAGCUUCAAGAGAAGAAGAKGUGCUGAAUCCGAAUUUGGAGAAAAAGCCAUUAAAGGAGAACAAUCUAGGUUAUCUUCUUCCUUGAAUUCUGCGCAAGUAGUAAAUGAUCUCAGCUAGGGUUUCAUGAUAUUUUCUCAYUUGAUACUUCUUUCUUGCUGUAAUUGUGUCA